AAGAUCCUCCUGCCUCAGCCUCCCACCUGCUGGGAUUACAGGCAUGCGCCACCAUGCCUGGCUCAAAAGAAUACUUUUGAAUACACAGGAAAAUAUAGUAGAGCACGAAUUACAAGAUUCCCCUUCUCCAGUUCGAGCUUCCUGUGUUCCGGGACACCACAGGAUGUGCUUCUGCCCUAGCAGAGGAGCUCUUCGACUUGCAGCAGUUGGUGCCCCCCGGUGGGUGCCAGUGUGUUCUGAACACCGGCUCCGGCGCAGCAUUCUUGCUCCAUGCCCAAUUUCUCCCUACUUCAAGCCCUCUGGCUGCAAAGAAUUUGGAAGCAGACAUUCUGGGGAAAGUGGCUGUGACUGCAGCUCAACUUCGGCAGCUCGGAUUGUCCGAGUCCAGCCCCGAGCUGCUGCUGUUGCUGCCGCGUUGUGGUGCUGCCGGCGUCUGUUCUCACGAGGUUUGCCGCUGAGCUGCGACCGCCGCCGUGGCCGGAUCCCCUGUGCGGACAGUGAGAGUGUCUUGUGGGACGUGCCCGCCACAGCCUGCGCAGCCACUGGGGUGUGCUGGAAGGAUUUGCGAGGCUGUGCACUCCCUCUUUCCGGGAGUUUUCCGCUACAGAUAAGGCACCACCGUCUUCCUGUGGUCUCCACCUUUACAGCCGCCAGGGCUGUGGGCGAGAAGCUGACGUCAGCCUUGCUGUGGCCCUCCUGGGGGACGCCAAUGCAGGUAACGCUCGGCUGCUGCGCGUCCGCGGGGCUGGGCAGAGUACACAAGAUGGACCGUUUCUCCUCUGGGGCACCGUGCAGACGGACACUGUCUACGGUGAAGCCGGAUUCUUUCUGUGGAUUCUGAUCACAGCUCCCAUCUCGCUUCCCAUCACCCGUUCUCCAGCCUGCAGUUCAUGAUGUUUUUCCAGAAACCCACCGAUCCCAUCAGACAUUUGAAAGUCGCACCAGUUUUGAGUCGCCGCUGGGACGAAGCGCAAAGCCGACUGGAGGUUUACAGGCCCUGCACUGCGCAGGCGCUGCCUCGGGCCUGUCUGCCGCCCCUUCUGUGUGUUCUGCGUCAUACCUCCUGUGCCUCCUGCCGCCUCCAAAAGUGCUACUUUUUCUGGAAAUCUUUCCUUCAGCAAAUUUUCGCCUUUACUAUAUGGCCAGGCGCUCUUCCUGAGCUCUCCGUGCAUUUACAGUCUGGAGAGAAACAGAGUUUUAAAAAAUCAGCUCAAAAAAAAAAAAAAAAAAAAAAUCAGAGCGAGUGCACAUAACAUUACAAGGUAAAGAUGCCGGGCGUGAGGGCGCACACCUGUAAUCCCAGCACUCAGGAGGCUGAGGCAGGAGCGUCAUUGCAAGAUGCCCCCCUGGGCUACAAAGUGAGUUUAAGGCCAGCCUGAACUGCAUAGUGAAACCCUGUCUCAAAAAAGACAAAAAUAAAACAAAACAAAAAAACGCCAUGUGGAAAAGAGCAAAGCACAACCAGCAGAACUGGGUAGCGUCGCUCGAUGGAGACAGGGACGCAGCAGCAGGUUUGGCCUGGGUUUGGAAUUUCUGAAGUCCCCGGUAAAACCAAACUAGGGCUGGGAAGGGAGCUCAGAGAUAGAGCACAUGUUAGCGUGCAUGAGAGAGGCCCUGGCACUCGGGAGGCUGAGGCAGGAGGAUCAUUGCCAGUUCGAGACCAGCCUGGG
ensembl:lincRNA